AUAUCUUCUAGAAAACAAUACAGCACAACAAUCUGUAAACAACCAAAGGAGAAGUGUAGUAUCUGUUCUUAUCAGUUUAAUAUCUGAUACGUUCUCAAUGAGAGGACUUUAUAUUAAACGGAUUUUUGGGCACGGGUAAAAAAUUUUU
rnacentral:snRNA from 1 species